rnacentral:rRNA from 1 species
AUACGUAGGAUCCGAGCGUUGUCCGGAUUUACUGGGCGUAAAGGGUGUGUAGGCGGUAUGGUAAGUCUCAUGUGAAAUCUCCCGGCUCAACUGGGAGGGGUCAUGAGAUACUGUCAAACUCGAGGGCAGCAGAGGAGAGCGGAAUUCCGGGAGUAGUGGUGAAAUGCGUAGAUACCCGGAGGAACACCCGUGGCGAAAGCGGCUCUCUGGGCUGUACCUGACGCUGAUACACGAAAGCGUGGGGAGCAAACCGGAUUAGAAACCCGGGUAGUCC